rnacentral:rRNA from 1 species
GAUGAACGCUAGCUACAGGCUUAACACAUGCAAGUCGAGGGGCAGCAUACUGAUAGCUUGCUAUCAGUGAUGGCGACCGGCGCACGGGUGAGUAACGCGUAUCCAACCUUCCCCAUAGUAGGGCAUAGCCCGUAGAAAUGCGGAUUAAUACCCUAUGUUUUCCUUUGCAGGCAUCUAACGAGGAAUAAAGGUUUACCGCUAUGGGAUGGGGAUGCGUCUGAUUAGGUAGUCGGCGGGGUAACGGCCCACCGAGCCAUCGAUCAGUAGGGGUUCUGAGAGGAAGGUCCCCCACACUGGUACUGAGACACGGACCAGACUCC